rnacentral:rRNA from 1 species
AUGACAGGGGAAAGCACACAAAAGAUGAUUGUGCAAUGGUGCAACCUAAUAGAAAAGGGUGACGGCCACCAAGCCAAGAUAGACAUGGGGUGCUACGCUGAAGAGUUGACUCUAGGAGUCAUCGAACGGGUGAUCUUCGGCGCGCACUACAAAGAAGCCCGGGAGGUGUUCGCCGAGGGCAAGGAGAUCAAGAAGCUCGUGGUGCAUGCGCUUGCAGAUCCUCGAAUACCCGGAUUUAGGUCGAUAACGAGCAAGAUAACACGGCUCAUAAAGGAGCGGCUUGCCAGUGGUGUCGACGGAGAUGACCUAAUCGGGUUGAUGCUGCGGGCAAACAAGUCAGAAGAAGUCGAGUCAUUGAGCAGCGAUGAUAUGAUCAGUGAGUGCAAGACCAUCUUCGCCGCAGGGCAGGACACAGGUGCCACCCUCCUCACCUGGGGGAUGUUCUUGCUCACCAUCUACCCAGAAUGGAAAGAGAGGCUCAGGGAGGAAGUGCUGAGAGAAUGCAGGGAUGAUGAUGGCGAAGCCCCCUAUAUCAAUAGCAUCAAAGUCCUUGGCAAACUCAAGCUACUUAACAUGUUCCUUCUUGAGACACUGAGGCUCUACAGUCUCCUGCCGUUCUUGCUGAGGAAGACCGCGUCUGACACAACAUUAGCAAACAUCAAAUUUCGAAAAGGAACCAUGAUAACAAUUCCGGUCAUGACGUUGCACCGGAGCAAGGAGAUUUGGGGCCUCGACGCCGACGAGUUCAACCCCAUGAGGUUUGAGAAAGGCGUCUUGGGGGCUGCCAACAACACGUAUGCAAUGUUGGCCUUCUCAUGCGGGCCACGUGGGUGCCCAGGGAGGAACUAUACCAUGAUCGAGGUGCAGACUGUGAUGACGAUGAUCCUGAGAAGAUUCUCCUUCUCCCUCUCUUCCCAGUAUGUUCACAUGCCCAGGAACUUCAUCUCACUUGCACCUAGGUAUGGCCUUCCCCUAAUCGUGAGGAAACUGAUGGAUGGAGAAAAAAAGUGA